UGGGGAAUAUUGCACAAUGGGCGCAAGCCUGAUGCAGCCAUGCCGCGUGUAUGAAGAAGGUCUUCGGGUUGUAAAGUACUUUCAGCGGGGAGGAAGGGAGUAAAGUUAAUACCUUUGCUCAUUGACGUUACCCGCAGAAGAAGCACCGGCUAACUCCGUGCCAGCAGCCGCGGUAAUACGGAGGGUGCAAGCGUUAAUCGGAAUUACUGGGCGUAAAGCGCACGCAGGCGGUUGAUUGAGUCAGAUGUGAAAUCCCCAGGCUUAACCCGGGAAUUGCAUCUGAUACUGGUCAGCUAGAGUCUUGUAGAGGGGGGUAGAAUUCCAUGUGUAGCGGUGAAAUGCGUAGAGAUGUGGAGGAAUACCGGUGGCGAAGGCGGCCCCCUGGACAAAGACUGACGCUCAGGUGCGAAAGCGUGGGGAGCAAACAGG
rnacentral:rRNA from 1 species